UAACCGGAUUCCCUUAGUAACGGCGAGUGAAGAGGGAGUAGCCCAGCACCGAAGCCUGCGGCAGGUUUGCUGUUAGGCAAUGUGGUGUUUGGGUCGACUAGCGGGACUGCCACUCCACUCGAAGUCCAGCAUUGAGUAUGGUCACUGGAUUUGGCCCAGAGAGGGUGAGAGGCCCGUACGGGUGGAGGAUGUUGAGACAUGUGGGCAGUUCACCAGGUCGGCCUUAGAGUCGGGUUGUUUGAGAAUGCAGCCCAAAGUGGGUGGUAAACUCCAUCCAAGGCUAAAUACAAGCACGAGUCCGAUAGCGAACAAGUACCGUGAGGGAAAGUUGAAAAGUACUCUGAAGAGAGAGUAAACAGUACGUGAAACCGCAUGCAGGUAAACGGGUGGCGUCAAGCUGCGAGCCCAGAGGAUUCAGCUGGCUAGGUUGUUGUUUAUGCGCCUGGCGCAUCUACUGACCGGAGUAAGACAUAGUAGUCCACUGGGAGACAGUGGGCCCAGCUCGCUUGCGAGUUGGGAUGUGUGUGCCGGGUGGAAGCCGGAGCACGCUGCUAUCUGUCCGUUGGGUCGACUAGCCAGUGCAUUUUCUCUGUGGUGAACACCACGACCGGUGGAAACGCCAGUCUGCUGUAGUCGAGUCGUGUCCUGGUAGUUGCCGUAUGCUUUGCGGCUGCGGGGAUUGCUAAUUGGAUGCGAUCACAGGCAACGUGCGUAGACGGCGUAAGGUUGUUGCUAAGGCGGUGACUUUGCGUGUUAUCGUCUGCCUGUUGUAAACGAGUCACUUGGUGGUUGUUGUGACCGUCACCGGGUGGCUUGGUGGGCUAUGGCGGUUGAAAUGACUGUGCGGUGCACCGGAUUUGUCCACCUCAAGUGCCGCUGUCGUUGCUGCGGCUGUUGCUGCUGCUGCUGUCCAUCUUCGUGGUGGCGGUGGUGGUGGCGGCGGCGGUAGUGGCGGUUGUGGUGAUUGCAUUGGGCACGCAUGUCACAAGUGUUGUGUCGGGUGCCAUUGUCAAGGUCUGCCCGUAGUUUUGGGUGUGAUUGCCGUGUUGCCUGCGCAAAGUAGGUCCGGCAGUGGUCUAAUGCGGGUUGGGCUGUGAUGGGCGCUCGCUUGUGCCGCCGUGUAUGGAUGCUGUGGGUGGAAUAGUCCGUGGUGCUGUGGUAGAUUAGCCACCUGACCCGUCUUGAAACACGGACCAAGGAGUUUAACAUGUGUGCGAGUCAAAGGGUCCUACGAAACCCCAAGGCGCAGUGAAAGUGAGGCCUUGAGUUUGCUCGAGGUGAGGUGAGAUCCUGCUGUUACUCGCAUCAGUCUGAUGAUCAGUACCAGGCUACAAAGAGCAGUGGGCGCAUCACCGGCCCGUCCCAUGAUGUAGUCACUGGGUAUCUACUGCACGCGGAGUGUGGUGUCGUCUUGGUCGUCGUCGCACACGCGUGUUGUACCAGUGCGUCAUC
rnacentral:rRNA from 1 species